rnacentral:SRP_RNA from 1 species
GGCGUCUCUCACGCGACGUUACCUCGUGAACCUCCCCAGGGCCGGAAGGCAGCAAGGAUAAGCGGGCUCUGGCGGGUGCGUGAGAGGCCCUGAA